rnacentral:rRNA from 1 species
GAUGAACGCUGGCGGCGUGCCUAAUACAUGCAAGUCGAGCGAACGGACGAGAAGCUUGCUUCUCUGAUGUUAGCGGCGGACGGGUGAGUAACACGUGGAUAACCUACCUAUAAGACUGGGAUAACUUCGGGAAACCGUAGCUAAUACCGGAUAAUAUUUUGAACCGCAUGGUUCAAAAGUGAAAGACGGUCUUGCUGUCACUUAUAGAUGGAUCCGCGCUGCAUUAGCUAGUUGGUAAGGUAACGGCUUACCAAGGCAACGAUGCAUAGCCGACCUGAGAGGGUGAUCGGCCACACUAGAACGGAGACACGGUCCAGACUCCUACGGGAGGCAGCAGUAGGGAAUCUUCCGCAAUGGGCGAAAGCCUGACGGAGCAACGCCGCGUGAGUGAUGAAGGUCUUCGGAUCGUAAAACUCUGUUAUUAGGGAAGAACAUAUGUGUAAGUAACUGUGCACAUCUUGACGGUACCUAAUCAGAAAGCCACGGCUAACUACGUG